AUUGAACGCUGGCGGCAGGCCUAACACAUGCAAGUCGAGCGAGCGGCGGACGGGUGAGUAAUGUGUGGGGACUGCCCGAUAGAGGGGGGAAACUAGUGGAAACGGUGGCUAAUACCGCAUACUCUCGGAGAACCCAUAUGGGAUUAGCUAGUGGGUGGGGUAAAGGCUCCACUAGGGGUCGAUCUCUCGCUGGUCUGAGAGGAUGAUCACCACCACUGGGACUGAGACCCGGCCCAGAUGCCUCCGGAGGCAGCAGUGGGGAAUAUUGCACAAUGGGCGCAAGCCUGAUGCAGCCAUGCCGGGUGGAGGAAGAAGGCCUUAGGGUUGUAAAGUACGUUCAGCGGGGAGGCGUUACCCGAAGAAGAAGCACCGGCUAACUCCGUGCCAGCAGCCGCGGUAAUAC
rnacentral:rRNA from 1 species